rnacentral:rRNA from 1 species
GAUGAACGCAGGCGGCGUGCCUAAUACAUGCAAGUCGAGCGAAUGGAUUGAGAGCGUGCUCUUAUGAAGUUAGCGGCGGACGGGUGAGUAACACGUGGGUAACCUGCCCAUAAGACUGGGAUAACUCCGGGAAACCGGGGCUAAUACCGGAUAACAUUUUGAACCGCAUGGUUCGAAAUUGAAAGGCGGCUUCGGCUGUCACUUAUGGAUGGACCCGCGUCGCAUUAGCUAGUUGGUGAGGUAACGGCUCACCAAGGCAACGAUGCGUAGCCGACCUGAGAGGGUGAUCGGCCACACUGGGACUGGGACACGGCCCAGACUCCUACGGGAGGUAGCAGUAGGGAAUCUUCCGCAAUGGACGAAAGUCUGACGGAGCAACGCCGCGUGAGUGAUGAAGGCUUUCGGGUCGUAAAACUCUGUUGUUAGGGAAGAACAAGUGCUAGUUGAAUAAGCUGGCACCUUGACGGUACCUAACCAGAAAGCCACGGCUAACUACGUGCCAGCCGCCGCGGUAA